rnacentral:rRNA from 1 species
ACACAUGCAGUCGAGGGGUAACAGGAGAUUGCUUGCAUCUUGCUGACGACCGGCGCACGGGUGCGUAACGCGUAUAGAACCUACCUUAUAUUGGGGGAUAGCCCAGAGAAAUUUGGAUUAAUACCCCAUAGUAUGCUGAAUUGGCAUCAGUUUAGUAUUAAAGAUUUAUCGAUAUAAGAUGGCUAUGCGUUCUAUUAGCUAGUUGGUAAGGUAACGGCUCACCAAGGCGACGAUAGAUAGGGGUCCUGAGAGGGAGAUCCCCCACACUGGUACUGAGACACGGACCAGACUCCUACGGGAGGCAGCAGUGAGGAAUAUUGGACAAUGGAGGCAACUCUGAUCCAGCCAUGCCGCGUGCAGGAAGACUGCCCUAUGGGUUGUAAACUGCUUUUAUAGAGGAAGAAACCGCUCUACGUGUAGAGCUCUGACGGUACUCUACGAAUAAGGAUCGGCUAACUCCGUGCCAGCAGCCGCGGUAAUACGGAGGAUCCAAGCGUUAUCCGGAAUCAUUGGGUUUAAAGGGUCCGUAGGCGGGCUUAUAAGUCAGUGGUGAAAGUUUGCGGCUCAACCGUAAAAUUGCCAUUGAUACUGUAGGUCUUGAAUCAUUGUGAAGUGGUUAGAAUGUGUAGUGUAGCGGUGAAAUGCAUAGAUAUUACACAGAAUACCGAUUGCGAAGGCAGAUCACUAACAAUUGAUUGACGCUCAGGGACGAAAGCGUGGGUAGCGAACAGGAUUAGAUACCCUGGUAGUCCACGCCGUAAACGAUGGUUACUAGCUGUUUGGACUUCGGUCUGAGUGGCUAAGCGAAAGUGAUAAGUAACCCACC